rnacentral:rRNA from 1 species
UACGUAGGGUGCUAGCGUUGUUCGGAUUUCUUGGGCGUAAAGCGCGUGUAGGCGGCCAGGUAGGUCUGCUGUGAAAACUCGAGGCUCAACCUCGAGACGUCGGCGGAAACCAUCUGGCUAGAGUCCGGAAGAGGAGAGUGGAAUUCCUGGUGUAGCGGUGAAAUGCGCAGAUAUCAGGAAGAACACCAGUGGCGAAGGCGGCUCUCUGGGACGGUACUGACGCUGAGACGCGAAAGCGUGGGGAGCGAACAGG